AUUGAACGCUGGCGGCAGGCCUAACACAUGCAAGUCGAGCGAGCGGCGGACGGGUGAGUAAUGUCUGGGACACUGCCUGAUGGAGGGGGAUCACUACUGGAAACGGUAGCUAAUACCGCAUACCAUCAGAUGUGCCCAGAUGGGAUUAGCUAGUCGGUUGGGUAAUGGCGCACAUAGGCGACGAUCCCUAGCUGGUCUGAGCGGAUGACCAGCCACACUGGAACUGAGACACGGUCCAGACUCAUACGGGAGGCAGCAGGUGGGAAUAUUGCACAAUGGGCGCAAGCCUGAUGCAGCCAUGCCGCGUGUGUGAAGAAGGCCUUCGGGUUGUAAAGCACUUUCAGCGGGGAGGCGUUACCCGCAGAAGAAGCACCGGCUAACUCCGUGCCAGACGACGCGGUAAUUC
rnacentral:rRNA from 1 species